ensembl:lncRNA
UAUAAACCUCAGCAUUGUUAGCUCAAGAGCAGAUGAGCUGCAAUAAGAGAGGAGCUGACACCAUAAUGCAAAUGGGCACCCACAGCUUCUGAGGGCUGCUGUACUAAGGACUGCAGGCUGGGCACUGCUGGAGGACAGAAGGCUCAUGAGAAGAAAGGGAAGAACAGCACAGGCAAGGAAGAGCCAUUCUACAACAGUGCCUUCCUCUGUAGACGGGAGCUGUGAGCUGUCCCACAGACACCCACGCCUAUGGUACCCUCUGGUCUGUACAGCUCUGGUCUAAGCCUCUGGCUGCACCACUGCUGCCAUCUCAG